GAUGAAGAACGCAGCGAAAUGCGAUACGUAAUGUGAAUUGCAAAUUCAGUGAAUCAUCGAGUCUUUGAACGCACAUUGCGCCCCUGGUAUUCCGGGGGGCAUGCCUGUCCGAGCGUCAUUGCUGCCCUCAAGCACGGCUUGUGUGUUGGGCCCCGUCCUCCGAUCCCGGGGGACGGGCCCGAAAGGCAGCGGCGGCACCGCGUCCGGUCCUCGAGCGUAUGGGGCUUUGUCACCCGCUCUGUAGGCCCGGCCGGCGCUUGCCGAUCAACCCAAAUUUUUUAUCCAGGUUGACCUCGGAUCAGGUAGGGAUACCCGCUGAACUUAAGCAUAUCAAUAAGCGGAGGA
rnacentral:misc_RNA from 1 species